AUGUUCAGAUACAAAGGAAACUCUCAGUUUAAUGUCAUGAUCUUUGAUAAGCUUGGUCGUGAAAAAGCAUUAUCAGUUGUUCUGGAUCCUUUUUUGCAUCGGGUCCAAGACAGGCGCAACGAGGCACAUGAAAUCGGGUCUUCUAAAAAGAUGGAUGUGCCUUCGGAAAGAUGCAAGAGCCGGACUGAAUAUCACUACGCAAACUUGGAUGAUGAGAAGAAAUAUUUCUUGGUGCAUAUGAUGGGCGAUUUUCAACAUCAGAUGAUCAUCCCAGAAGUAUUUGUUCAGCGUUUCAAGGGCGAAUUCCCAAGAGAGAUGAUACUUCAAACACAAAAUUGCCACAGUUACGUAAUUGGAGUUGCAAAGAACAAUGGAAAUCUUGUCCUUACAGUGGGAUGGGGGAAUUUGUUGGGAUCUUUGGUCUAG
rnacentral:rRNA from 1 species